GACGAACGCUGGCGGCGUGCUUAACACAUGCAAGUCGAACGAUGAUGCCCAGCUUGCUGGGUGGAUUAGUGGCGAACGGGUGAGUAACACGUGAGUAACCUGCCCCUGACUCUGGGAUAAGCGUUGGAAACGACGUCUAAUACUGGAUAUGACUGCCGGCCGCAUGGUCUGGUGGUGGAAAGAUUUUUUGGUUGGGGAUGGACUCGCGGCCUAUCAGCUUGUUGGUGAGGUAAUGGCUCACCAAGGCGACGACGGGUAGCCGGCCUGAGAGGGUGACCGGCCACACUGGGACUGAGACACUGCCCAGACUCCUACGGGAGGCAGCAGAGGGGAAUAUUGCACAAUGGGCGAAAGCCUGAUGCAGCAACGCCGCGUGAGGGAUGACGGCCUUCGGGUUGUAAACCUCUUUUAGUAGGGAAGAAGCGAAAGUGACGGUACCUGCAGAAAAAGCACCGGCUAACUACGUGCCAGCAGCCGCCGUAA
rnacentral:rRNA from 1 species